rnacentral:rRNA from 1 species
UACAGAGGUGGCAAGCGUUGUUCGGAUUUACUGGGCGUAAAGGGCGCGUAGGCGGCCACCGCAAGUCGACUGUGAAAUCUCCGGGCUUAACCCGGAAAGGUCAGCCGAUACUGCGGGGCUAGAGUGCAGAAGGGGCAACUGGAAUUCUCGGUGUAGCGGUGAAAUGCGUAGAUAUCAGGAGGAACACCGGUGGCGAAGGCGGGUCUCUGGGCAACAACUGACGCUGAGGAGCGAAAGCGUGGGGGAGCGAACAGG